rnacentral:lncRNA from 1 species
CAAGCUCGACUCCCAGGGUACACAUGUCCUCCGUCUCCACUUCUUCUCCUUCACCGACCAAAACCAUGACCUCGCCACUGCCCGUUUUGACGUCUCCGCCCUCGACCGCUUCCUCCUCUUCGGCUUCUCCGUCCCAAACACCCAAACUCCCGUCAUCAAGGAGUACCUUCUCUGGGUGGACACCGCCGAGCUCGCCCUCACCUUCAUUCCCCAUUCUAAUUCCAGUGCAUCCUUCUUUAGCCUUCGUCAACGCGAUUGAAGUCUUCCCGGCACCCACCAACCUCAUCAGCAACAGCACAGAUCCCCAGCCAGUACCUUCCAGCCGGAGUAUCAACCAAUUAGCCCACCAGCCACUGGAGAUAGUCCACAGGAUCAACGUGGGAGGCCAAAAGGUGACCCCGGCCAAUGACACCCUUUGGAGGACCUGGGUUCCCGACGAUGAGUACCUCUUCACAGACAAGGACUUUUCGCUGGAUAACAGCACGAGCCCCAAGAACAUCAAAUACGCGGCGGGCGUAGAUCCUGUAAUCGCACCGGCGAACGUCUACGACACUGCCCGAACCAUGAACAUAUCGAGCUCCAUGGUAUUAUCCAACCCCAACUUCGACUUCAACAUAACCUGGAGCUUCCCUGUAACUUCAAACUACAGUUACUUGAUCCGAAUGCAUUUCUGUGAUUUCGUUUCGAAGAUCUAUACUGACCUCUACUUCGACGUUUAUAUCGGCGACCAAUUUGCGCACCAAGAUCUCCAUCCAGCUGAUAAAGUAGAUCAGCCAGCGGAACCUUUCUUUCUGGACUCCACCUUGUACGUUCCAACCUCGCAGCACCUCAUCAAUGUUAGCAUUGGCCGUUCGAGCAAGAGCAGCCCGACGACGGCUAAUGCUAUCCUGAACGGGCUGGAGAUCAUGAAGGUGUUCGGCAGCUUCAACGGAAGCUUCAACCCUGACUCAGGCAAUAGCCAAACCAAGAAGAUUCAUGUUGCCAUUCUGAUUUCAACCAUUGUUGGUGGUGUUUUUCUGAUUGCUUCAGCGAUCGCUGUCUUGGUGCUUGUAUGUAAGAGAUGUUGCUCGAAGAGUGUGAUAAAGCCAGCGGAAACAACGCGGGCACCAUACAGGACCGACGGUGCCAAUUCUGUUGAUCUCUCGAGCCAGUUUACUGAAAGAACAGCACCCAGUGCCUCGCCCCACUUCAAAAUGUCUCUUCAUAUCAGCUUUAUUGAGAUCAAAGUGGGGACCAACGACUUUGACGACAAGCUCGUGAUCGGCACAGGCGGGUUUGGGAAGGUCUAUCGGGGAGUUCUCAGCGAUGGCACCAGAGUUGCAGUGAAGCGAGGAACGCGACGGUCAGGGCAAGGCUAUCCAGAGUUCCAGAGAGAGAUCCUUCUCCUGUCCCAAAUUCGCCACCGCCAUCUUGUCUCACUGAUUGGUUACUGCGAGGAACAGUCGGAAAUGAUCUUGGUCUAUGAGUACAUGGAGAAGGGGCCUCUCCGGAAUUACUUGCAUGGCUCCGACUUGCCAUGCCUUUCCUGGAAGCAGAGGCUGCAGAUAUGCAUCGACGCCGCCAGGGGCCUCAACUACCUCCAUACGGGCUACUCGCAUAACAUCAUACACCGUGAUAUCAAGUCCACCAACAUUCUGCUUGGAGAUAACUACUUGGCCAAAGUAUCGGACUUCGGGCUCUCGAGGUGGGGGCCUUCUUACGGGGAAACCCAUGUUUCCACCAAGGUCAAGGGCACCUUUGGAUAUCUAGAUCCGGAGUACUUCAAGGCCCUGAAACUCACUGAUAAGUCUGAUGUUUACUCCUUCGGAAUGGUGCUCCUUGAGGUGCUGUGCGCGAGGCCAGUGAUCGACCAGACACUCUCAAGUGAGCAGGUCAACCUGGCAGAGUGGGCUCUGCAGUGGAAGCAAAGAGGCCAACUGGAGAAGAUCAUUGACCCGAGGCUUGUGGGGAAGAUCAAUGUGAAUUCUCUGAGCAAGUUUGGCGAGACAGCGGAGAAGUGCCUUGCAGAGUGUGCUGUUGAUAGGCCGACCAUGGCGGAUGUGUUGUGGAACUUGGAGUAUGCUCUCCAGCUUCAGGAAACAGAGCUGAAGAGGGAGCCUUACGAGGACAGUGGUAAUGUGGAGUCGCAGUUUCCGGUGACAGCAGUCGGAUGGGCGCCUUCAACUAGGAUAUCAAUUGAUGAAGGUCGUUCGAUGGCAGGGAUGAGAGAAGUCUGCUCGGACACAACUGCAAGCAAGGUGUUCUCCCAGAUAAUUGUUGAUGAAGGCAGAUGAACGGGAUUGAUUUUGUUGGAAGUUACAACAAAUCAAAAUGUUUGGUAAUGGGUAGUUAAUAAUUGUGUGGUAAUGGAUAGUCAAUAAUUGUGUGGUAAUAUGUAGUUGUGGUAAUGGGCUGCCUAAUUAUGUGGUAAUGACUAGUCGGGUUUUUUUUAGAGUUAAGUGGAUUUACGUUUUCAUUUUGCAUUGUAAUGGCUAUAUAAGGCCGCCUAGUUUUUCAUUUUGAUAAGUGAUUAGAAAGAAAUUACAAACUAUUGUGUACUUUGAAAAGAGAGUGGUAUAGUCCGUAGACUUUUCUUAAUAUUGGUAUCAGAGCCACUUAGAUCUAUUUUCUCACCUUUUCUUCUCCUCAGGGCCUCCACCACUAAUCUUGUCAAUCCUCAAGUACCAAAGUUAUCAAAAGAUAACUAUGAGAGUUGGUCAAUCAAAAUGAGAGCCUUAUUUGGUUCUCAAGAUUUGUGGAAGCUAAUCAUUGAUGGGUUCACGGAACCCACAACGCUAGUAGAAGCCAUGUAUAGCACGGAAGAGAAGAAGGCUCUUAGAGAGCAGAGAAAGAAGGAUAGCAAGGCUCGUUUCAUAAUCUAUCAAGGGUUGGACGAGUCUACCUUCGAGAGAGUUGCCGAAGCAACGACGAGCAAGGAAGCAUGAGAUAUCCUUGCUACCAUCUAAAAAAAGUCGAAUGGGUGAAGCGAAUUCGCCUCCAAACUCUGAGACGAUUUUGAAGGCGCUCAAAUAAAAGACAAAGAAACUAUUUCUGACUAUUAUUCACGAUUAGUAUUAAUCGGGAAUAAUAUGAGAAGAAAUAGUGAAAAGAUAGAAGAUGUCCGAGUGAUGGAGAAGUUGCUCCGAUCCCUCUCAUCAAAGUUCAAGCACGUGGUGGCGGCGAUUGAUAAGUCGAUGAAUUUGGAGGAGAUCUCAAUUGAGGAGCUCUUGGGAUCUCUCCAAGUUCAUGAGCAACGCAUGCAAAAGAAAACUAUCUCCACAGCUUUGGAACAAAUACUAGAGUCAAAGUUGACUUUAAGUGAUCGAGGCUCAUAUGGUAGAGGCCGUAGUCGUGGUAGAGGCAGGGGAUGUGGUCUCCAACAACGAACCACUCAAAAUCAAGUGGAGACCCAAAGCUUCAAAGGCCGAGGACGAGGCAAUCGGGGAAGAUUCACACCUGAGCGUGGAAAUAACAAGAAUGUUCAAUGCUACAACUCUCAUAAGUUUGGGCACUAUGCAUCGGAUUGCUAGCACAAAACUGAAGAGUAAACCAAUCUCACCGAAGCAACAAAUAAUGAGGGUAACAACUCUACACUUCUUCUUGCUCAUGAUGAUUCAAGUGUUCAGAAUGAUACUUGGUACCUUGACUCGGGUGCUAGCAACUACAUGUGCGGGAAGAAAGAAUUUUUCAUGGAACUCACAGAAGGAGUUCAUGGAAAUGUGAGUUUGGGAGAUUCUUCAAAACUCCCAUUUAAAGGCAAAGGGAAGAUUAAAAUCUAUCAAAAGAAUGGUAAGCCCGAGUAUAUUUCUGAUGUUUACUAUAUUCCUAACAUGAAAAGCAAUAUUAUUAGCAUCGGUCAACUACACAGAAAGGGAUACGUAGUACAUAUGGAAGACAACCAUCUUUGGUUGAAAAAUGCAAAUGGAAGCCUCAUAGCUUGUGUUAAGAUGACAAAGAACCGUAUGUUCCCCUUACAUCUAAAUACAGAAUUCGAGAAGUAUUUCCAAGGACACGUUGAGAAUGAGUCAUGGAGGUGGCAUCUUCGCUUCGGCCAUCUAAACUUUGAUGGCCUGAAGCUGCUUUCUACAACCGGCAUGGUACAUGGCCUACCAGCAAUCGACCCACCAAAUCAUGUUUGUGAAGGUUGCAUACUUGGCAAGCAACCACGGCUUUCUUUUCCUAGUGGAAAGUCAUGGAGAGCAGAGGCACCAUUGCAACUUGUUUACACUGACAUCUGCGGACCGAUUGAGCCUGUCUCUUUGGAAGGUAAUAGAUAUUUCAUUACCUUCAUUGAUGACUUCAGUAGAAAAUUGUGGGUGUACCUUCUUAAAGAAAAAUCUGCCACUUUCAUUACCUUCAAGCACUUCAAAGCUCUAGUUGAAGCGGAGAGUGGUUACAUGCUUUUAACCCUCCGAUCUGACUGAGGUGGUGAGUACACCUCAAAUGUCUUUCAAGAAUAUUGUAGGGAGCAAGGCAUAAAGAGGCAGUUUACUACUGCCUACACACUACAGCAAAACAGCAUCGCAGAGAGAAAGAACCAAACCAUCCUUGAUAUGACAAGUACCAUGCUCAAAGAAAAGGAACUGCCGAAGCAGUUCUGGGCGGAAGCUGUGGCGUGCUCAACUUAUUUGCUCAAUAAUCGAUGCCCGACGAAGAUAGUAAAGAACAAGACACCUCAAGAGGCAUGGAGUGGUUACAAGCUUAGUGUGGCGCACCUACAAAUAUUUGGGUGCGUUGCAUAUGCUCAAGUACCUGAUGUCAAAAGGAAGAAACUUGAUAAUCGCGGUGAAAAAUGUAUCUUCAUUGGAUACAGUGAGGAGUCGAAGGCGUAUAAGCUCUAUAACCCACUAACCAAGAAACUAGUGGUUAGUAGAGAUAUCGUCUUCAACGAAGGAGAAUCAUGGAACUGGAGCAAUGAAGAAACUGCCAAAGAGCAACUUGUGGUGGAUGAACCUGAUGAACCCCCAUAGGAGGUUCCACCACCAGCUACACCACCAUCUCCUCAGCAAGCUACACCCUCUCCUGGAAGAGGCUCUUCAUCUUCUGGGGGAGGUACUAGCAACAGAUCUGCCAUGCAUCGAGGUUUCAUCAGAAUGAGAAGCCUCAGAGAGAUUUAUGAGCAGAUAGAAGAUGGUGAUGAGUUCAAUUUUUUCUGUUUAUAUGNNNNNNNNNNNNNNNNNNNNNNNNNNNNNNNNNNNNNNNNNNNNNNNNNNNNNNNNNNNNNNNNNNNNNNNNNNNNNNNNNNNNNNNNNNNNNNNNNNNNNNNNNNNNNNNNNNNNNNNNNNNNNNNNNNNNNNNNNNNNNNNNNNNNNNNNNNNNNNNNNNNNNNNNNNNNNNNNNNNNNNNNNNNNNNNNNNNNNNNNNNNNNNNNNNNNNNNNNNNNNNNNNNNNNNNNNNNNNNNNNNNNNNNNNNNNNNNNNNNNNNNNNNNNNNNNNNNNNNNNNNNNNNNNNNNNNNNNNNNNNNNNNNNNNNNNNNNNNNNNNNNNNNNNNNNNNNNNNNNNNNNNNNNNNNNNNNNNNNNNNNNNNNNNNNNNNNNNNNNNNNNNNNNNNNNNNNNNNNNNNNNNNNNNNAAGAGAACAAAGUUUACCGCAUGAAGAAAGCCUUGUAUGGCUUAAAGCAAGCAUCACGAGUCUGGAACGCACGGAUCGAUGAAUAUCUUCAUCAAAAUGGCUUCACCAGAUGUCCCUAUGAGCAUGCCGUCUACAUGAAAAGAAACCAUCAAGGUGAAUUUCUAAUAAUUUGCCUUUAUGUUGAUGACUUGCUAUACACAGAUAAUAGUGCUGAGAUGUUUGCAGAGUUCAAAAUGUCCAUGUUCAAUAAAUUUGAGAUGACGGACAAUGGGUUGAUGUCCGACUUCCUUAGCAUCGAAGUGAAGCAGCAGCAAGAUGGGAUCUUUAUAUCCCAAAAGAAGUACAUGAAGGAGAUCUUGGAGAAAUUCAAUAUGAGUAAACCCAGUAAACACCCCAGUAGCCACAGGAAUGAAGCUAUCUAGAGAAGGAAAUGGAGGUUUCGUGGACUCGACUCUCUUCAAGAGUCUAGUUGGUAGCUUGAGGUAUUUGACGAUCACAAGGCCAGAUAUCGUUUAUGGAGUCGGAUUUGUGAGUCGCUAUAUGGAGACACCGAAGGAGUCUCAUUGGCUAGCUGCGAAGAGGAUUCUAAGGUAUAUUAAAGGCUCACUUAACCUGGGUUUAUUCUAUGCUUAUGGUGAAGCUGCAGAGUUAGUGGGCUAUUCAGAUAGUGACUGGAGAGGUGACCAAGAUGGGAGGAAAAGCACCACAUGCUAUGUUUUCUAUCUUGAGUCAACUACAUUUUCAUGGACCUUAAAGAAGCAAGGAGUUGUAUCCUUAUCUUCAUGUGAAGCAGAAUAUGUGGCGGCUGCAUCUACAGUUUGUAAAGCAAUUUGGUUGAGGAAUAUAUUAAAAGAGCCGGAUCAUCCACAAGAAGAACCAACUAUGAUAUUGGUAGAUAACAAAUCAGCUAUGCAACUUGCAAAGAACCCAGUACAUCAUGGGAGGAGCAAACACAUAGAUACACGGUUUCAUUUUCUCAGAGACCAUGUAAAGCAGAAAACCAUGGAGCUAGAGUAUUGUCAUACCAUGGAGCAAGUAGCAGAUAUUUUAACUAAGCCGUUGCCGAUUGAAUCCUUUAGAAGGCUAACAAAAAUGCUCAGGUUGAGAACGUUUUGAUUUGAGGGGACAUGUUGAAAGUUGCAACAAAUCAAAAUGUUUGGUAAUGGGUAGUCAAUGUGUGGUAAUGGUUAGUCAAUAAUUGUGUGGUAAUGGGCUGCCUAAUUAUGUGGUAAUGGGUAGUCAAUGUGUGGUAAUGAGUAGUCAAAAAUUGUGUGGUAAUGGAUAGUCAAUAAUUGUGUGGUAAUGGGCUACCUAAUUAUGUGGUAAUUGGUAGUCAAUGUGUAGUAAUGGAUAGUCAAUAAUUGUGUGAUAAUGGGCUGCUUAAUUAUGUGGUAAUGGGUAGUCAGUUUUUUUUAUAGAGUUAAGUGGAUUUACGUUUUCAUUUUGCAUUAUAAUGCCUAUAUAGGACUGCCUAGUUUUUCAUUUUGAUAAGUGAUUAGAAAGAAAUUACAAACUAUUGUGUGCUUUGAAAAGAGAGUGGUAUAGUCCGUAGACUUUUCUUAACAGAUUUUUAAGGGCAAUUUAUUAGUUAUAUCAUUAUAAUGUAGAAGAAUAUCAGUGAAAUUCUAUGAUUGUACGACAAUAAGGAUGUAGUGCAUCCCUCGUAUUUCCUAUCAAGUAUCUCCUAAUGAUUUCAGAACUCGGCUGUGCAAGUUUAGUUGGUCGGCCAUAAUUACUCAUCCAAAUAAAAUUGCUGACGAAAUUGAGAAUGGCAGUUGCGGUUAAUUACCUGCAUUGGAAUAUGAGUGCCUUCUCCUGGCAUUAAUAAUUUAAUAAACUUCAGAAGUUCAAUCUUUAUAGUUCCCUUACAACUCUUUAAGGUGCUUUUGCAACAUAAAGAAUAAGGUGAUGUUACAAAGAUUGGAUCAGCCAUGAGGACGAUGGUGAUACCUGCGACGAGUUCUCUAUUUUGUUUCCGGCUUAUUAGUUGCGGCAUGGUUUUUGGGAUUUCUGGUUUGUCAUCCAGGGUUAGGUUGUUUUUUGCAAGGAACUGCCAUUCGAUUGUCCACUGCAUAGUUUAUAAAGCACUCCAAACUUUAUCAUUCAUCUAUCUACCCAGGUCUCAAUGCAGGCAGAUGAAGAUUAACCGUGAACUCGUGCAAAGGAUGGCAAAUCUUUCUUUCACACGAAAGAUACAAACAUGACCCAGAAGUCAUGGCUGCCUGCCUAUAAAUUUGAGAGUCUGAGCAGCCUUCAGCCAAGCGUCAGGAAGUUCUGUUCUGUUUUAUCUUGUUUUACUUAUAGUAAAAUAAAAGGGCCGUCCAGCAGAUGGUUGGUUCGUCUACUGUUCUACACUGCAGCAAAAAAUUCUUCGAUCAUGUUUGGUCUAAAUCACAUUCCUUAUAGUUUGGCUGAAAUUUAGCCUAGUCUUUCGUUUCAUUUAAUCUGUCUUAAAAGGAAAAAACACGGCAGUAAACAGAUUCACAGAAUCAGAAGGUUCCACCAACUAGAAAGAAAAUUUAACGCAGCGCCAUAAAUGGGAAAACUUAAGCACGGUGCUUGCCGUCAAAGUGAACAUCAUUUGGUGGUCAUGUACGUCUCAAUUCCACCUACCUUAAACCUGCAUAAUAUAAAGUUCCGUCUCCUAUCUUUGAUAUUCUGCUAUCUGCUCACAUGUCCAACAAAUUAAUAUACGCCUUUUUUUUUUAUAACAAGGAUGGAGAAAAAGAGCCUGGCCAAAAUAGGGUGAGGGCGAGAUCCAAAGCUAGGUCAUUCAUAUCAAUUUCCAGUGACUUUAACAAUUGAGUUAGUGGGCACCAUCAAUUUAGAACUCAAUAUUCAGCCAGGUAAUUUUACUCCUUUAGGUCCUCAUCUUUUUCCUGCAUUGAGCCAUGCUAGAGCAGAUUAGGAUAAUGGCAAAUGAGUGAACGACUGGCAUUAAAACUGAAGGAUGCAAGUCAUGGUGGUGACUGGCAUCAUGCUCAUUUAUCCCAGCAGACCUUUAUAUCAAUACACCUUCUGUACCAUGUACCGGUACCGAACUAGUACGGUAGACUCCAUACCGUCCGAUUUGGUGUAGUAUUGUAUACCUUGUUUUUUACUUAAAAUUUAAUUUUUCGUUUAGGCUUACUAUUGUCCAACCACCCGCAAUACAUAUUGCAAAAGAAUAAUAUAAAAUUUUAAGUUAUAAUAUAUAAAAUUAAAAUAAUUAGAUUUUUUUAAGAACUUUUUGUACUUUUAUCUAUAUUUAUGCACUCUCAUAGAUAUUGUAAAUAUAUAUUCCCUUAUCUAUCUAUAGUCGAAUAUGUUCUCCGUUUAUUUGUAAUAAAAUUUUAUUUCUUAUUUAUUUUUAAACAAUGAUAGUGAGGGAAUAACAAAGAGAGAGAUUUUUUUUAGUAGGAUCUAAAAAUAUUUUAUUAUAUCUUCUCUGUUUGUCUACAGUUGGUAUUUUUGAUUCUUUUUAUUUAAUUUUAUCCCAAUUUUUUUGGUAUGAUCAUUUUCUUAUGUCUUUGUAAUGGGCUCUCUUAAAUUUUUCCUUAUUUUAUUGAAAGCCAAGAUUUAUUUUUUUUAAUUUAUUGCUAGAAUGUAAUUAGUAAAACUUAUUAUUUGCCUAACACAAAGAUUUUUCGGAAAUUCAGAACUUGUAUUUUUAAUACAGUGAAGAAAAAUAAUAUUUUAUUUUUUCAAGAAUAUCAUCACCAAAUAAUAUGUAUUUUAUUAUUAUUAUUAUAGUCUUCCUUUUCUUUCUUAUAAGUACUAUGACUCUAUGAGGGCUUGCUAUAGCAUUUAUUAUUGUAUUUCUGAAAAAUCAGAUCAAAAGAUGAUUUGAUUAAUAAUAACUAUUAUUUCUAUUCUAAUAAAAAUAAUAUUUCUAAACUAUUUGGCAAUAACUGAUGUUGACAUUACGAAAUUUUUUUGGACAAAAGAUAAAGAUAAAAAAGAAGACCGAAGUUAUCAAUUUGCCACUCUAAUCUAAGAAACCGCAAUUAUUUUUUGAAACAAAGUCAAAAUAUAUUCUGAUAGAAAAAAUAUUAGGCAUCUCACCUCGAAUUAAACCGACCUUCUUGGUCUUGGUAUUAGUCGAGGUGGACAAUUUUGGUAACAAUCAAAAAGUACUAUAUUCGUGGUAAUAAUGACCGGCAGUUAUGGCAAUACUACAGUCAAUGCACGAUCAACAUAAUUAUUGCUGCGUGCAGCUUACACAAGACGGUUUCUAUAUUAUAAAUGUGCAACUAACUGUUAUGUUGCAAUUAAAGCACGUUGUACCAAAAUCAAAUAACAUAUUAGUACACUCCCCUAUAUAAAGAGGUGGCUCUUCAGGUAAGCUCAUUCGAAACUCUACUCUACAAGAUUUCUUCUUUUUAUAUGGUUGCCGUAUCAUCAAAGGGUUCCACACCAAAAAAUUUUGGCAAGUGGACUCCUCGUAAAUUAUCUUGGAAGGCAACCAAUUCUUUCUCACAUCAGUUAUCUCAUUCGAUUCGAUUUUCUUGGUCUCAGAGUAAGCUGAGUGGUAUUCCAACUUCCGCUCAGAAUUUAGCGGCAAUAUGUUUGACCAGAGAGUGUCUAUGCAUCCGCCGAUACUUUCAGAAGUGGCUGUGGAAAUAAUUUUUUUUUUUUUGUGGUUAAUGAAGACUAAGAAUUCUUAAAUGCUGGGAGCAACUUUUACAGUGCACUCGACAAGGUCGUUGCCUAAGCUUGUCCGAAGUGGUGUAAAACUACUUCUUUUGACCCCAAUCCUAUGUCCAGUGACGGGAGAUAGAGCCCAAUAUUAACAUCACCAGCUCUCAGAAUUCCCUCACUAGGAUUAUACAGCCACAGCCUGCGAACAGCCGUUGGCGUGCCUGGUUGGCACCCCUCCACCACCCCACCUCCCCCUCAAAGGAGAGGUUACUGGUCAAUCCUAAAUAGUGGUAUAAUUCCACUAUCUUUAUACAAUACUACUUAUUUUUUCAGAAAAGAAACUCCCAAGAAAGACAGGCUACUUAGCUUGCACACAUCCGAGUGUGGUCUGGGCCACAAUCUCGUCAUCAUGUGGAUAUCUCUAAGCAUUAGGUGGCCAUCGCCCCGCUGAUUCUCAUCCUGAAUCCGCUCGCACUGCAGUGGAGUCUUUUUUGAGGAUAGAGUUUUUUCAAUGACACUGGAGAAGGUUUCACCAAAAAAUGACAUUGAAGGAGAAACCUGACCUCCAUAGAGCAUAAAGAGGAUACGUAGCGGUGGCUGGCAUCUUUCUCCAUGUCCUCUUCUCCCCAAGCAAACUGCUUAGCACGUUAAUUAUGUUCUUUCCCAUUAUAGCAACAUAUAAUAUCUAUUCUCUAACAAAAACAAAACAAAAAAAAUGUCCCAUCUAUGUGUUACAAAGAUUGAUAAUAUUUUGAAGAAAGGCCAGUAUGAUAAGAUUAUGGGUUAUCAAAACCUGCAUCAAUCCNNNNNNNNNNNNNNNNNNNNAUGUUCUUUCCCAUUAUAGCAACAUAUAAUAUCUAUUCUCUAACAAAAACAAAACAAAAAAAUGUCCCAUCUAUGUGUUACAAAGAUUGAUAAUAUUUUGAAGAAAGGCCAGUAUGAUAAGAUUAUGGGUUAUCAAAACCUGCAUCAAUCCAAACUCAAUUUCAACCUUAUGCCUGAGUUGAUAUUUAUAAGACCAAACCGCACCACCAAAUUUCCACACCGGAUAACAUUUUUCUGGCCAGGGUUGAAUCUUUCGCGCGAAUGAAGGAUUCACCUGCCUUCGCGCGAAUCUGCCGUUGGAUCAUCCCCUGGUCGGUUUGAGCUAUGUGCAGGCGGAUGGAUGACGGAGUUCGGAGCGCCGUGCAGUUGAUGAUCCAACUGUGGAUUCGCGCGUUCAUGCGAAACAUGCAGCCCCGUCACAUCAAACAUUGAGAACGUCCCAACACAGGUCAAUGUCUCCGGUCGUCGCUGACAGCUCGCCCUCUUGACUAAGUCUACCCCGUCAAGAGGGGAAUCCCCCUCUUCUUUUCCCUGGUGCUAUCUCAAUGUCCCGGAGCAUCAGCUGCACCUCUCCACACGCCAUUCGGAGAUGGAGCUGCUGCUCGCAAUUACUAUUUUCUACUUAUCCUCCUUCCACUUAUCCUCCUCCGUCUUCACCCCUACCAAUCCCUACUUCCUCGCCUGCGGCUCGACCUCCAUGAUUCCCCUCACCACCGACAAUCCCGCUCGCAACUUCAUUCCUGACUCCGACUUCUUCACCCCCAAGUCCAACUCAAUCCCCCUCUCCAACCCCAACUCCUCCCUUCUCUACGCCACCGCCAGGGCCUUCACCGAGCGCUCCACUUACCGAUUCAAGCUCGACUCCCAGGGUACACAUGUCCUCCGUCUCCACUUCUUCUCCUUCGCCGACCAAAACCAUGACCUCGCCACUGCUCGUUUUGACGUCGCCGCCCUCGACCGCUUCCUCCUCCUCGGCUUCUCCGUCCCAUACACCCAUACUCCCGUCAUCAAGGAGUACCUUCUCUGGGUGGACACCGCCGAGCUCGCCAUCACCUUCAUUCCCCAUUCUAAUUCCAGUGCAUCUUCUUUAGC